NNNNNNNNNNNNNNNNNNNNNNNNNNNNNNCCAUUGUCCCCAUUGUCCUCAUUGUCCCCUUUGUCCCCAUUUUCCCCUUUGUUCCCACAUUGUCCCCUUUGUCCCCUUUGUCCACACAUUGUCCCCUUUGUCCCCAUUGUCCCCUUUGUCCCCUUUGUCCCCAUUGUCCUCUUUCUGCCCUUUGUCCCCAUUGUCCCCAUUGUCCCCAUUGUCCCCUUUGUCCCCACAUUGUCCCCAUUGUCCCCGUUGUCCCCGUUGUCCCGGUGGUGGCAUCACGGGGGGUUUGGUGUCCCCAGGUACGACCUGCAGAUCCGGUACCUGCCCGAGGAUUUCAUGGAGAGCUUCAAGGAGGACCGGACCACGCUGCUCUACUUCUACCAGCAGGUCAGGGCUGCUCCGGGAGACCCCGAAUUCCCGAAAUUCCCGAAAUUCCUGAAAUUCCUGAAAUUCCCGAAAUUCCAGAGGUUCUGGAGGCUUGGGGUGGCGGUGGUGGCACCGUCCUGGCGGUGGGAAUGGUCAGUGGGGAUGUCCAGGGAUAUCCAGGGACAUUAAGGGACAUCCUGUCACUGUCCCCUGCCAUUGUCCACUGUCACCAAUCCCUGUCAUUGUCUUCUGUCACCAUCUCCUGUCACCAAUCCCUGCCACCAUCCCUGUCACCAAUCCCUGUCACCAAUCCCUGUCACCAAUCCCUCUCACCAUCCCCUGUCACCAAUCCCUACCAUCAUCCCCUGCUAUCCCCAGUGUCCCCCCAGUGUCCCUGGGUGUCGCCUGCUGUCCCUGCAGUGACACGCUGUCCCUGGGUCUCCCUGGUGUCCCUGGGUGUCCCCUGCUGUCCCUGCUGUCCCCCAGGUGUCCCCGCUGUCCCAGUGGUGAUUCCCUGUCCCCUAGUGUCCCUGAGUGGCCCUGAGUGGCCCUGAGUGUCCUUGGGUGUCCUGGGUGUCCCCUGCUGUCCCUGGGUGUCCCCACUGUUCCUAUUGUCCCCACGGUGACACCCUGUCCCCCAGUGUCCCCGGGUGUCCCUGCUGUCCCCUACUGUCCCCGGGUGUCCCCAUUGUCCCCAUUGUCCCCAUUGUCCCCGUGGUGAUGCAAUGUCCCUGGGUGUCCCUGGGUGUCCCCUGCUGCC
rnacentral:lncRNA from 1 species